GACCUCAAAUCAAGGCAGGACUACCCGCUGAACUUAAGCAUAUCAAUAAGCG
rnacentral:rRNA from 1 species